rnacentral:tRNA from 1 species
AUUAGGGUAGCAAAGUAUUAAUGCUAAAGAUUUAGGAUCUUAUAUCAAAGGUUAAAUUCCUUUCUCUAAUU